UAGUAUGAGGAUGACUGAGCUGGUGAUUAAUUGACUAGAAGAAACUUUUUUAAAAUAACAAAACAAUAAAACGCUGAGAGUGCUUGUUUCCUUGUCUGCCUGCGUGAGUUGAGUCAGUGGAGAAAACUAUGGCUACGAUCGCGAGAACGCACAUCCCUAGACUUCUCGGAGGGGUUGAAUUUGCUUUUGCAGGUUCGCGUUGCUGCUUAUUUCCCAAGUAUUUCGGAUAUUCUCAAUCCUCUCGUCGCUAUGGCAAUGUGGCCUUAACCCACAAACGAAAUGCUCCCGUUCUUCCCAAAAUCAGAGGCCAGAGUUCCCUCGGUUAUUUCCCUGAUUCCAAAUUUUACAAAGUGGAAGCGAUUCUCAGGCCUUGGCGAAUCCCUCAUGUAUCUUCGGCUUUGUUGGAAAUGGGAAUCCGUGGCGUCACAGUAUCUGAUGUCAAGGGAUUUGGCGCUCAAGGUGGUUCAAAAGAGAGGCAGGGAGGCUCUGAAUUUUAUGAGGACAAUUUUGUUGCCAAGGUUAAGAUGGAAAUAGUGGUGAGCAAGGACCAGGUCGAAGCUGUAAUAGACAAGAUUAUUGAGGUGGCAAGGACCGGGGAGAUCGGUGAUGGCAAAAUAUUCCGUAAGGCUUCCAAUUUACCCUUUUCCCUUCCAAUCCUCAGGCUUCAAGUCACUUUAUUUGGAAGCAAAUUGUACAAUUUGCUCAACUGCGGCUUGAUCUAUUGUUUUGGAUAUUGCUUUCUCGGUCGUCUGCAUUAUGAGUUCCUCAUCAUUUUGCGUCAAAUCUGCACAAGUAGUAUACUUACAAGCUUGUUUGACCCCCGGGGGGGGGGGGAGAAUACUUGGAAGCUUGGUAAGCUCAGAACUAUGAGGAUAUUCAAAAUUUAAGCUAGCUAGCUUGAUGCGCGUUUGCUGUGAAUGGAAGCUGAAUAUGAAGAAAUAAUUAAAAAGAAGUCUUAGAAUUCAGCAAGUGACUUCAAUUUUUGUGGCCUGGAGCUGUGAUCAUAGUUCUAAUAGAAGCUUUGAUUGUUCAGUGAUACCUGUGGCGGAUGUCGUGAGAGUUCGAACAGGUGAGCGUGGGGAAAAGGCUGAGAAGAUGUCUGGCGGGCGAGCCGACUUGUUUUCCGUUGUAUGAUUUGUCGAUGGAACGGGGGACUGUGUGGCAUCUUCAACUUCGCCCGCUUUCAACUUCGCAAUGUAACCUGUCUUCUUUUUGGUGUAUUGUGGUUUCAAAGAUGAACACGUUGUUGACAAUCUAAUUGACUUCUUGUUAAUGGUGAAUAAAUUUGUGACGAUUAUUAGGUGUCGUUGUUAUUA